rnacentral:rRNA from 1 species
AAUGGGCGCAAGCCUGAUCCAGCCAUUCCGCGUGCAGGAUGAAGGCCUUCGGGUUGUAAACUGCUUUUGUACGGAACGAAACGGUUCUCUCUAAUACAGGGGGCUAAUGACGGUACCGUAAGAAUAAGCACCGGCUAACUACGUGCCAGCAGCCGCGGUAAUACGUAGGGUGCAAGCGUUAAUCGGAAUUACUGGGCGUAAAGCGUGCGCAGGCGGUUUUGUAAGACAGAGGUGAAAUCCCCGGGCUCAACCUGGGAACUGCCUUUGUGACUGCAAGGCUGGAGUACGGCAGAGGGGGAUGGAAUUCCGCGUGUAGCAGUGAAAUGCGUAGAUAUGCGGAGGAACACCGAUGGCGAAGGCAAUCCCCUGGGCCUGUACUGACGCUCAUGCACGAAAGCGUGGGGAGCAAA